UACGUAGGGGGCAAGCGUUGUCCGGAAUCAUUGGGCGUAAAGCGCGUGUAGGCGGCCCGAUAAGUCCGCUGUGAAAGUCCAGGGCUCAACCCUGGAAUGCCGGUGGAUACUGUCGGGCUAGAGUCCGGAAGAGGCGAGUGGAAUUCCUGGUGUAGCGGUGAAAUGCGCAGAUAUCAGGAGGAACACCAAUGGCGAAGGCAGCUCGCUGGGACGUGACUGACGCUGAGACGCGAAAGCGUGGGGAGCAAACCGG
rnacentral:rRNA from 1 species